rnacentral:rRNA from 1 species
AGGCCCUUCGGGGUACACGAGCGGCGAACGGGUGAGUAACACGUGAGCAACCUGCCCCUGACUCUGGGAUAAGCGGUGGAAACGCCGUCUAAUACCGGAUACGACCCGCCACCUCAUGGUGGAGGGUGGAAAGUUUUUCGGUCAGGGAUGGGCUCGCGGCCUAUCAGCUUGUUGGUGGGGUAACGGCCUACCAAGGCGAUUACGGGUAGCCGGCCUGAGAGGGCGACCGGCCACACUGGGACUGAGACACGGCCCAGACUCCUGCGGGAGGCAGCAGUGGGGAAUAUUGCGCAAUGGGCGAAAGCCUGACGCAGCGACGCCGCGUGGGGGAUGACGGCCUUCGGGUUGUAAACCUCUUUUACCACCAACGCAGGCUCGAAGUUUUCUUCGGGUUGACGGUAGGUGGGGAAUAAGGACCGGCUAACUACGUGCCAGCAGCCGCGGUAAUACGUAGGGUCCGAGCGUUGUCCGGAAUUAUUGGGCGUAAAGAGCUCGUAGGCGGCGUGUCGCGUCUGCUGUGAAAGACCGGGGCUUAACUCCGGUUCUGCAGUGGAUACGGGCAUGCUAGAGGUAGGUAGGGGAGACUGGAAUUCCUGGUGUAGCGGUGAAAUGCGCAGAUAUCAGGAGGAACACCGGUGGCGAAGGCGGGUCUCUGGGCCUUACCUGACGCUGAGGAGCGAAAGCAUGGGGAGCGAACAGGAUUAGAUACCCUGGUAGUCCAUGCCGUAAACGUUGG